GAUCAGUUGAGAACUAAUAAUAGACAUAACUUCUAUUGCUAUUAGCUUUGAAUUGUUAAUCAUUACAUGGCACUGUUAAACCAAAUUAUCAGAAUUUGUUGGCACUGAUCAGGACAUUAUUAACAGAGGAAGUUUGAAAACAUCAACAAAAGUGCACAAGUGAGAGCCGAAGAAGAAAGAUACCACCUAAACUGUACACUAUCUGGAAACCAGUCAUAAAAAAGGAAGCAUUUUGCCUAAAACUGAAGCAGCAAUGGAAAAGAUGAGAGGAAACAAAAGAAGUGACAAAAGAUCUAUGAUACCUACCCAACUGAAACCUAAUUGGACCAGCCUGAAUCUACUAUGGCCAACUACACAUGCUAUAUGAGCAUUGUAUAUACUCGGAGAAAUGAGACUACUAGUAGCUAGUAGAGACGAGUUCCAAAACGUGCAAGCUACAUGUAACCACUCCAUAGUACACAUGUUGACAGGGGACGAACCCAGAAAUUGAAAGAGAUCCACAAAACUAUGAAAGACAGCUUUUUUUUAUCAGCUUACGGCAAAAUAUAAAGACAAUUAGGGAACUGAGACUUUCAAAGAUGAAGGGUGACCACUAAGUAACAAAGAGAUACAUCCUAAAUCCUUUCUCUAAUGUUGAAUCAAAAGCAUACUAGUAUCAUUCAUAACCAGAGAACCCCAUUCAAUGAACAAGCAAGCAAGCCAACCUACAAUCCAAGGAAACGAAAAAACCAGAGAGAUUAAGUGAGAGGCACAGUAAAUCCCUAACUUUCAGCUAAUUAGCACUUCAAUUCUCAGGAAAGGAGUGUCAGCUACACAUCAGCCUUGCCAGGGUACACACACCCUAAAUCACCAAUUCUCUGCAAGCCUUUACUUUCCAGGUCGAUCAAAUCAAUAAAUAUUUCCUUCACUGAAGCACAACAAAAACCGAUUCCAAUAUGCAAAAUAGAGAAUCCAGAAAAGGGUACCACAGAUCAACAACGCAGCGGCAACUAAUCGAUAAAAGCUUACAUUUUUUUUUUCACUGUACGAACCAAACAGAGACAGAAAUCACAGAAUCAAAACCCAGCUGAAACGGGAGACUUACAGCUGGAAAUCGGGUAUCUAGCUUCUUCCUCAUACUGCAAGUCUCGAAGCAUACAAUCGGACAGAGAAAUCCUAAUUAGGACGGCCGGACAGAAUGAGAAUUCGUCCCUCGCUGUAGAUUGUUCGAAAGAGAAACGAUUGAUCAAAUGAUGAAUCUUCUAACAUCAGUCGGACCAAGCAAGAUGCGUAGAUGGAUCGGACACAGAAUUUCAACUGAAGAACAAAAUAUUUUCCCCGGAAAUCAGAUCUGCAGAAAAAAUAAAGUAAAUUUACCGAGCUUUGAUUUCAUCGAAUAUUCGUUCGUACAUUUAUGACAAAAAAAUAAAAGAAAUAAAAAAUGAAAAUGGGUGAUAUCGUGACG
rnacentral:lncRNA from 1 species